rnacentral:sRNA from 1 species
AUGAGAAGCUUCGACUAAGGUUCGACUCGAGCGAAGCGAGAGAACGUUGCCGCAGGCAACGGCCCGAAGGGCGAGGCGCUUUAGCGCCGAGUAAUCCUUCCCCCACCACUG